CUAGUUUUGUGACUCGAUCCAGUUCCGAGUGGUUCCGAGUGGGUUUUGUGCACGUUUUUGUAUUCAUCGCCAGCCACGUUAAAAGGAAGAACGUGAAUGUGAAUACAAGAAGCACAGAAGCAGCAAAAUAA